AACGAACGCUGGCGGCAUGCCUAACACAUGCAAGUCGAACGAGACCUUCGGGUCUAGUGGCGCACGGGUGCGUAACGCGUGGGAACCUGCCCUUAGGUUCGGAAUAACUCCCCGAAAGGGGUGCUAAUACCGGAUAAUGUCUUCGGACCAAAGAUUUAUCGCCUUUGGAUGGGCCUGCGUUGGAUUAGCUAGUUGGUAGGGUAAAAGCCUACCAAGGCGACGAUCCAUAGCUGGUCUGAGAGGAUGAUCAGCCACACUGGGACUGAGACACGGCCCAGACUCCCACGGGAGGCAGCAGUGGGGAAUAUUGGACAAUGGGCGAAAGCCUGAUCCAGCAAUGCCGCGUGAGUGAUGAAGGCCUUAGGGUUGUAAAGCUAUUUUACCCGGGAUGAUAAUGACAGUACCGGGAGAAUAAGCGCCGGCUAACUCCGUG
rnacentral:rRNA from 1 species